rnacentral:rRNA from 1 species
AUACGAAGGGGGCAAGCGUUGUUCGGAAUAACUGGGCGUAAAGCGCACGUAGGCGGAUUGAUCAGUUAGAGGUGAAAUCCCAGGGCUCAACCCUGGAACUGCCUUUAAUACUGUCAGUCUAGAGAUCGAGAGAGGUGAGUGGAAUUCCGAGUGUAGAGGUGAAAUUCGUAGAUAUUCGGAGGAACACCAGUGGCGAAGGCGGCUCACUGGCUCGAUACUGACGCUGAGGUGCGAAAGCGUGGGGAGCAAACAGGAUUAGAUACCCUUGUAGUCC